AUUACAUCUAACACAAGGAUAAUGAAUAACCUGAUAACGUGUCCACAUAUCAAGUGUCUUAGCAUGUUCAACAAAUCUUUUGACACCAUCAACAAAUUCCUCCCUAAUACCCAUUCUAUUAUCAUUGUUCCAAUGAUAUAUCCAGCUAUAAUCAGGUUCCAUCAACGCAAUCAAUCAGAUUCAACUAAUUAGAUCAAUUCACAAAAAUUUAACCAUUUUCAAGCAACUAAGUCACCUAACAAACCACAUUCAAAAUAAAAAAUCCCCUUCAAAGUCCCUACACUUAACCAUUUUCAAGCAACUAAGUAUCAAAAUAAAACAACAUUUAAAACACAAAAUCCCCUUCAAAGUCCCUAGACUUAACCAUUUUCAAGUGACUAAGUCACCAAACAAACCACAUUCAAAACAAAAAAAAAACCCUAUAAAGUCUCUAAACUUAACCAUUUUCAAGCAACUAAGUCACUUAACAAACAACAUUAAAAACAAAAAAAUCUCCUUUAAAGUUCCUAGACUUAACCAUAUUCAAGAUACUAAGUCAAUUACCAAACCACAUUCAAAACAAAAAAAUCCUUUUAAAGUCCCUACACUUAACCAUGUUUAAACAACUACGUCACUUACUAAACAACAUUCAAAAUAAAAAAAAUCCUCUUUAAAGUUCCUACACUUAACCAUUUUCAAGCAACUAAGUAUCAAAACAAAACCACAUUCAAAACACAAAAUCUCCUUCAAAGGCCCUACACUUAGCCAUUUUCAAGCAACUAAGUAUCAAAACAAAACCACAUUCAAAAUACAAAAUCCCCUUCAAAGUCCCUACACUUAACCAUUUUCAAGAAACUAUGUCACUUAUCAAACCACAUUCAAAACAAAAAAAUCACCUUUAAAAUCCCUACACUUAACCAUUUUCAACCAACUAAGUAUCAAAAUAAAACCACAUUCUAAACACAAAAUCCCCUUCAAAGUCCCUAGACUUAACCAUUUUCAAGCAACUACAUCACCUAUCAAACCACAUUUAAAAAAAAAAAUUUCCUUUCAAGUCCCUACACUUAACCAUUUUCAAACAACUAAGUCACCUACCAAACCACAUUCAAAACAAAAAAAUUCCCUUUCAAGUCCCUACACUUAGCCAUUUUCAAGCAACUAAGUCACCUACCAAACCACAUUCAAAACAAAAAAAAAUCCAUUUAAAGUCCCUACACUUAACCAUUUUCAAGCAACACUUACCAAACCACAUUCAAAACAAAAAAAUCACCUUUAAAGUCCCUACACUUAACCAUUUUCAAGCAACACUUACCAAACCACAUUCAAAACACAAAAUUCCCUUCAAAGUCCCUAGAAUUAACCAUUUUCAAGCAACUACAUCACCUACCAAACCACAUUCAAAACCAAAAAAAAUUCCUUUCAAGUUCCUACACUUAACCAUUUUCAAGCAACUAAAUCACCUACCAAACCAUAUUCAAAACAAAAAAAAUCCCAUUUAAAGUCCCUACACUUAACCAUUUUUAAACAACUAAAUCACUUACCAAAUUACAUUCAAAACAAAAAAAAUUCCUUUAAAGUCUCUACACUUAACCAUUUUCAACCAACUAUGUAUCAAAAUAAAAUCACAUUCAAAACACAAAAUCCCCUUUAGAGUCCCUAGACUUAACCAUUUUCAAGCAACUAAAUCACCUACCAAACCACAUUCAAAACAAAAACAUUUCCUUUCAACUCCCUACACUUAACCAUUUUCAAGUAACUAAGUCACCUACCAAACCACAUUCAAAACAAAACAAUCCCAUUUAAAGUUUCUACACUUAACUAUUUUCAAGCAACUAAGUCACUUACCAAACCAUAUUCACAACAAAAAAAUCUCCUUUAAAGUCCCUACACUUAACCAUUUUCAACCAACUAAGUAUCAAAACGAAACCACAUUCAAAACACAAAAUCCCCUCCAAAUUCCCUAGACUUAACCAUUUUCAAGAAACUACAUCACCUACCAAACCACAUUCAAAAUAAAAAACUUCCCUUUCAAGUCCCUACACUUAACCAUUUUAAAGCAACUAAGUCACCUACCAAACUACAUUCAAAAAAAAAAUAACCAUUUAAAGUCCCUACACUUACCCAUUUUCAAGCAACUAAGCCACUUACCAAACCAUAUUCAAAACAAAAAAAUCUUCUUUAAAGUGUAAUACCCCGAAAAAUCCAAACCAAUAUUAGACCCAUUACCAAGUUCAUGCAUAGUAUAUCAUGGUUAUUUUAUAGUUUUAUGAGUAAUUUAGAUGUAUAUUAAGGCUUCAAAUAACUCCCAG
rnacentral:lncRNA from 1 species